GCCGGGUGUGGUGGCGCGCACCUGUAGUCCCAGCUAUUUGGGAGGCUGAGGCAGGAGAAUCACUCGAACCCGGGAGGCGGAGAUUGCAGUGAGCCGAGAUGGCGCCACUGCACCCCAGCCUGGGUGACAGAGUGAGACUCCUGUCUCA
rnacentral:SRP_RNA from 1 species